rnacentral:rRNA from 1 species
AGUGAACGCUGGCGGUAGGCCUAACACAUGCAAGUCGAACGGCAGCACAGUAAAAGCUUGCUCUUACGGGUGGCGAGUGGCGGACGGGUGAGGAAUCCAUCGGAAUCUACUUUUUCGUGGGGGAUAACGUAGGGAAACUUACGCUAAUACCGCAUACGACCUACGGGUGAAAGCAGGGGAUCUUCGGACCUUGCGCGAUUGAAUGAGCCGAUGUCGGAUUAGCUAGUUGGCGGGGUAAAGGCCCACCAAGGCGACGAUCCGUAGCUGGUCUGAGAGGAUGAUCAGCCACACUGGAACUGAGACACGGUCCAGACUCCUACGGGAGGCAGCAGUGGGGAAUAUUGGACAAUGGGCGCAAGCCUGAUCCAGCCAUACCGCGUGGGUGAAGAAGGCCUUCGGGUUGUAAAGCCCUUUUGUUGGGAAAGAAAAGCAGCAGGUUGAUACCCCGCUGUUCUGACGGUACCCAAAGAAUAAGCACCGGCUAACUUCGUG